UACGUAGGGGGCUAGCGUUGUCCGGAAUCAUUGGGCGUAAAGAGCGUGUAGGCGGUCCGGUAAGUCCGCUGUGAAAGUCGGGGGCUCAACCCUCGAAUGCCGGUGGAUACUGUCGGGCUAGAGUGCGGAAGAGGCGAGUGGAAUUCCUGGUGUAGCGGUGAAAUGCGCAGAUAUCAGGAGGAACACCUAUUGCGAAGGUAGCUCGCUGGGACGUAACUGACGCUGAGACGCGAAAGCGUGGGGAGCAAACAGG
rnacentral:rRNA from 1 species